AUAACACAAAACAUAACAGAGAGUAUAGAGAGAAAUUGAAUGGUUUAUAUAAAGU
rnacentral:guide_RNA from 1 species